rnacentral:rRNA from 1 species
CUACGGGGGGCAGCAGUGGGGAAUAUUGGACAAUGGGGGCAACCCUGAUCCAGCCAUGCCGCGUGUGUGAAGAAGGCCUUAGGGUUGUAAAGCACUUUCAGAUGUGAGGAAAGGUGUGUGCUUAAUACGUACAUACUGUGACGUUAGCAUCAGAAGAAGGACCGGCUAACUCCGUGCCAGCAGCCGCGGUAAUACGGAGGGUCCGAGCGUUAAUCGGAAUUACUGGGCGUAAAGCGCGCGUAGGUGGUUUCGUCAGUCAGAUGUGAAAGCCCCGGGCUCAACCUGGGAAUUGCACCUGAUACUGCGGAACUAGAGUACGAUAGAGGGGAGUGGAAUUUCCGGUGUAGCGGUGAAAUGCGUAGAGAUCGGAAGGAACACCAGUGGCGAAGGCGACUCCCUGGAUUGAUACUGACACUGAGGUGCGAAAGCGUGGGGAGCAAACAGGAUAGAUACCCGUGUAGUC